CCUGAGAAACCCAAAAGAUCGAAUGGGGAGAUUCAUCGUCAGCGAUCCUGGUACUUGUACGGUUCGUGAUGCUACGAAGACUUCGGUCUCGCAGCACGCGUCUGUAUGGUUUAUUUGCCAGGCGUCGUCGGCGUGCACUUCUUCCCUAGUAGGACGUCGCGACCCGUUGGGUGUCGGUCUACGGCUCGGGUGGGCGCCUGCCAUGUGUCACGCUUCACGGCGUCAUGUGGCAGACCCCCGGUUGUCUGACCGGCUGCCCGGCGGUACUCGCACGGUAUCGGGCCGCAAAUAUUCGAACUGCGUCUGGCCCGCCGCAAGCGAGGUCAGUGUUUCCCGGAUGUACGGACCUAGUGCCGUCACCGGGCCUGGCCAGCUGUUGGUCGGCGGUGUCCUGGGACUGGCUCUUUUGAAUUAUGAUACCGGUCGGCGACGCUACUGCUUUGG
rnacentral:rRNA from 1 species